rnacentral:rRNA from 1 species
AACGAACGCAGGCGGCAGGCUUAACACAUGCAAGUCGAGCGCCCCGCAAGGGGAGCGGCAGACGGGUGAGUAACGCGUGGGAAUCUACCCAUCUCUACGGAAUAACGCAUGGAAACGUGUGCUAAUACCGUAUACGUCCUUCGGGAGAAAGAUUUAUCGGAGAUGGAUGAGCCCGCGUUGGAUUAGCUAGUUGGUAGGGUGAAGGCCUACCAAGGCGACGAUCCAUAGCUGGUCUGAGAGGAUGAUCAGCCACACUGGGACUGAGACACGGCCCAGACUCCUACGGGAGGCAGCAGUGGGGAAUAUUGGACAAUGGGCGCAAGCCUGAUCCAGCCAUGCCGCGUGAGUGAUGAAGGCCCUAGGGUUGUAAAGCUCUUUCACCGGUGAAGAUAAUGACGGUAACCGGAGAAGAAGCCCCGGCUAACUUCGUGCCAGCCGCCGCGGUAACAC